AGCCAGACUCCUACGGGAGGCAGCAGUGGGGAAUAUUGCACAAUGGGGGAAACCCUGAUGCAGCGACGCCGCGUGAGUGAAGAAGUAUUUCGGUAUGUAAAGCUCUAUCAGCAGGGAAGAAAAUGACGGUACCUGACUAAGAAGCCCCGGCUAACCACGUGCCAGCAGCCGCGGUAAUACGUAGGGGGCAAGCGUUAUCCGGAUUUACUGGGUGUAAAGGGAGCGUAGACGGCAUGGCAAGUCAGAUGUGAAAGCCCGGGGCUCAACCCCGGGACUGCAUUUGAAACUGUCAGGCUGGAGUGCAGGAGAGGUAAGUGGAAUUCCUAGUGUAGCGGUGAAAUGCGUAGAUAUUAGGAGGAACACCAGUGGCGAAGGCGGCUUACUGGACUGUAACUGACGUUGAGGCUCGAAAGCGUGGGGAGCAAACAGGAUUAGAUACCCCGGUAU
rnacentral:rRNA from 1 species